UACGUAGGGUGCAGGCGUUAAUCGGAAUUACUGGGCGUAAAGCGUGCGCAGGCGGUCUGCUAAGAGAGGUGUGAAAUCCCCGGGCUUAACCUGGGAACUGCGCUUCUAACUGGCAGGCUAGAGUGUGGCAGAGGGGGGUGGAAUUCCACGUGUAGCAGUGAAAUGCGUAGAGAUGUGGAGAACACCGAUGGCGAAGGCAGCCCCCUGGGCUAACACUGACGCUCAUGCACGAAAGCGUGGGGAGCAACAGG
rnacentral:rRNA from 1 species